rfam:Peptoclostridium acidaminophilum DSM 3953 plasmid EAL2_808p, complete sequence.
ACUGUGGAGAGCUAUACAAAACUGUAGUAGACAGGUUGCGUCGCAAUCGUUGAGGCGGGGUUCGUUGAAGCAGUAA